AGGGAGAUUCACAUAUUCUUCCUAUCUUUCAAUCUUCCCCUAUUUCUCUUAUCCAUUCAUCACACAGUAUCAAAGAUUUGAAGACAUGAAUGGCUAAGGUACUCUUUUAACUUGGGAAUAAGAUUUAGACAAGUUUUUCCUUGAGGUUUUAUGUGUAUUUUAUAGAAUAUUGUUGUUGUAACUCUUGGUUUUUGAGCAUACUAUAAUGGAGUUAUCUUAAUAGAUUUGACAUAGAGGUAUGAUUAGGAGAUGAAUGUACAAUUUAUAGGUUGGUCUAAUGACUCUAAUCCUUUAAUUAGUUCUAUAUUCAUAAUCAGAAGGAAAUUGCAUGCUGAAAUUGGACUACUUUCUAGGCUUAGUGACUUUAGUGGCAAUUCUAGUUUAGUUUGAUGGUUUGUUGUAUAAUAACUUUAGUGAGUUUGCCUUUGGUUUCUCUUCUUCAUGUAUUUCUUUUUUAUUUUUUCUUCCUCAUAGUUUAAAUUCAUUUCAUACACAUUAUAAAAACAACUAUGCAUUCCAAUAGGAUGAAAGAGUGAAUUAUUUGUUUGUUUUCAAUUCUCGUAAUUGUAUGAAAUGCACGAUCAAUCCAUAGUGUAAUAUUUUCAAUUUUUUUUCUAAAAUUAGUAUUAACGACCGAUCUCCUCUUUUUAGAUUUUCAAUCCUAUAGAGAUUUUAGUUUUUUUUUUAUCACAUGACAGGAAAAGAAGAUAUAGAGUCAUAUUCAAACCAAGAUGAUAGUGUUUCUUGCAAUAAUUGAUUGCCUCAAACAGAUAAAAAAAAAACGGUGGAUUUUACUAUCCCAAGUUAGAAGGUCGUUGAAUGAAAAAGACGGUUUUUAUAUUUGAUCAUGGAAACCGAAAAAAAAAAAAAACAACAAAUUGUCUCAAUCACGCUAUAUAACCUUAAUUUGAAACUAUUUUAAGCGAAAUCAUAUUAACAUAUAUUUGUGUUUAUUUAGUC
rnacentral:lncRNA from 1 species